rnacentral:rRNA from 1 species
UACAGAGGGUGCGAGCGUUAAUCGGAAUUACUGGGCGUAAAGCGUGCGUAGACGGUUAUUUAAGUCGGAUGUGAAAGCCCCGGGCUCAACCUGGGAAUUGCAUUCGAGACUGAAUAGCUAGGGUGCGGUAGAGGGAAGCGGAAUUUCCGGUGUAGCGGUGAAAUGUGUAGAGAUCGGGAGGAACACCGGUGGCGAAGGCGGGUCUCUGGGCAUCUCCUGACGCUGAGGCGCGAAAGCGUGGGGAGCAAACGGG